CGCGGUUAUACCAAGUGAUUAAGUUAUAUCUUUAGGUAAAAAGACAGUUAGGUUUAAAGUAAAUUUGUUUAUUAAACAUCUAUAAAAAAGUAAAAUUUGUAUAUAGAUAGCUGAUCUAAAAAUAACUAAGUUAAUCAUAUACUGAAGCUGUGAUAAUCUUGAGGGAAACUGGGAUUAGAUACCCCAUUAUUCUUGAUUGUAAAUAAAAUUAGAUUUACCAGAGUACUAUGAAUAGUUAAAAAUUUAAAACUCAAAGGGCUUGGCGGUGUUUUAGACCUAUCAGGGGAACCUGUCUCGUAAUCGACAAUCCACGUGAUAUCCAACCUUAUUUUGUAACCAGUUUGUAUACCGUCGUCGUCAGGUAACUUUUAAAAAUAAAGAAGUUAGCAACUAAAACUGAUAUAUGAGUUAAGACGUCAGAUCAAGGUGCAGCCUAUAAUAAGGAGAGGAUGGGUUACAAUUAUAAAAUUUAUAAUAACGGAAAUUUAAAUGAAAUUGUUAUUUUGAAGGAGGACUUGAAAGUAAACUAAAAUACAUAAAUAGAUUGAAUAAGGCUCUG
rnacentral:rRNA from 1 species